GGGGCUAUAGCUCAGUGGCAGAGCACGUCCCUAGCAUGUAUGAGGCACUGGGUUCAACCCUUAGCACCA
rnacentral:tRNA from 1 species